rnacentral:lncRNA from 1 species
UUUUAUAAUCCCCUAAGCUUAUUAAUCACAUUCAUCAUUUUCAUGCCCUCCUUGGUAUUUUACAGGGGAAAUGAAGGGGUCAUUUGUUACUCAGUCCCUGCUUUGCUCCCGACACACAACAUCUCUGCCUUAAUUGAGCAGAGCUCUGGAAAUGCUGGACCAAAUGGUCCUGUCCCAGCAGAGCACCCUGGCACCUGAGCAAGACCCAAAGCAUCCCCAUCUGCCCCCUCUCCCUGAGCAGGGCAGAAUCAGGCCCUGUUUGCCCAAUUGUUUUCUCCCAGCACCUUUCCCAGAGGCUGACUCCAGCUGAGUGCCCAUUGAUCCACCACUCCUGAGGCAGCUCCAAACCCUCAUCCCUUCCCUGCAGCACUCUGUCUGCCCUCAGACCAAGAUUUACGAGGCCAAUUCACGGAUGUGGCUGCAAGAGGAGUCCAGAAGCUUUUGCUGCAGCACCACAAGCAUCACAGAAGCAGCAAAGUGCUCUUUGCAUACCUGAUCCUCACUGAAGGGAUGCAGCAGGACGCUUGCCCAGGGAGCAGGCUCUGCACUGGGACCCAAGGAGGCAGCGUGGGUGUGUGCCAGCCUGACAAUGGGCUUUCAUUUAACAAGCACAGAUUUAAGUGUGGAGAUCAAAUAUGAAACAGUCGUGGCCAGCAUUGUCUGCAUUCUUGGAGGGGCACUGAAUGAGCAGAAAGAAAGGAGCCGAGACACUGGCCCAGACAUGCUCCAGCUGUUUUUUUGCUCGUGGGGGACAUGCCAGCACACACUGCCCAUGCCUCAGCUGGGAACACCCCACAAAACCAUCAAACAGUCACCAAGAGAAGGGCCAGGGCUAUGAAGUUUCCCAUGGAGGGCAGUGGGAAUGCCCAGUUGUGCUGGACUUCUCUGGAAGGAUCUCUCCUUUGUUUUGAUGCUGGCACACUUCAGCACAGCAGUGGUUUUCCAAGGGAGGAGUAGGAUUCAGAGUGCUUCUUGCCAUUUAUCUUUCCCUUCAGGACAUCCACUAACCCAGGCGCUCUCUCCCUCCCAGCUUUUGCACACUCCUGCAGAAUUCCCAGCAGGUUAAGGUCAGGUAUGCUUCAGAGUGAGAUAUUGUCUCUCCAUACAUUGUUUUGCCACAUCCAAAGCAGGUCUGUAAUUUUAAACCUGAUAUUUUAAGCUCCAACAAGGUAUUUUGAAGUGCACAUGCAAUAAUUUCUCACUACACACCCAUCUUUCCUUUCUAAUGAAUGGCAUUGCUCUAAGGAUCUGCACAGAGAAGCUUUAACCUAAUUUUUACCUUAUUCCAUCUAGUUUUUCAGCAUGAAGAGUGUUUUAUAUUUUGUUAAUGAAAAUUAAUUAUCAUAUUAGAAACUCAUUAAAGGUAAAAGAUGAUGAUUUCAAGCAAGGAGUUUCACCUAAUCCAGAAACUGUAAGCAUCUACUCAACACCAAGGCCAGAAGCAACUUCAUUUACCUUAAUGUGUGUGCUUAUCUCUAAGCAGAUGCUUAAGUGGUUUGUUGGCAAGAGCUGGAGUGCUUGUGCCUUUCCAGGUGACCCUAUUUAAUAAUUAUCAGUAUUAAAAUGCUCAAUAACUAUAAACACAAGGAAAAAACACCCAGCACGGAAUCAGCUCUACCCAGAGCUUUUCUAAACAUGAUUUCUGCAUUAGUCAGGAGGGUCAGACUGUUCCAUGCUCAAAGGCUGACCCCAAAAGCCACAGGAAUCAGUGGAAGGGUGUUGACCAGUUACACCAGUUUGGGGAUGGGAUCCCCUGUGGGCAGAAACACCUUUCUGUUUUGGCACCGUGACUAACAGGGACAACAAAGGCUCUGCACUGACAUUAAGAAAAUUUGUUCUAUGAAUUGACAUCCUGUUAACCUCCAGCUCCCUCAGAGGAAGCUGUUAAUUUAAUGGUUACGUCAGGAAGACAUGGCAGCGGAGGAAACCUCACAGCCUAAUGUCAGUAUUGACACCUGCACAGGGCAGCACUGACUGCAGGCAGCUCUGCAGAGCCAAAAUUGAAAUAUCCUGCCCUUGACAAGGAGAACAUUUUCAAAUCUAAGUGAUUGUAGCCAGUCCAGACUCUAGAGGCAGAGCAAAGCCUCUCCAGAUCCUACAGGUUCUUCCAGUUAAAUUCAAUGCAAAAAUGGAUGGAUUAAUCCACUCUCACCUCUUAGAGGUAAGAUGCUGCACACAGUCUUGUCUCAUCCUGAUGCUAAGGGGUCUCAACAGAAAGGCUGAUUUUGCUAUUUGAUUUCAAAGCAGUUAAAUUUGAGUAUAGGUGGGUAUCCAUUUUACUGAGUAUUAAACUUAGGUCAUGCAGGUAUGCAAAGGUAAAAGUAGAAGGUAAGGAUGAGACACUUAAAUACACCUAAGUGGUAAAACACCCAAAAUUAAAUGCUUGGCUUAAAAAUAAAGGUAUAAAGGCCCUGACUCCA